CAUCAUCCUCCAGGAAGUGACAUCAUUAUGGAGGGAAAUCAGCAGCACACACAUUAAUGCUUGACGUAUUUUAUAGGCACGGUGUUUGGCUCUCCUCAUCAUGGUCAAGUUUAAAAGCAUCGAGCGUUUCCUCAAACCACGCCAGAACCGCAUGACUUUGGCACGCUGACUCUUGGGACAAAUGUUGUAAUGGCUGUUCUUUGAGCGGCAGAGUGAAGUAACAAACACCUGACCGCAUUUUCCCUGUUGUUCAGCCUCUGGUGGAAACUACAGACUUCAUCUCUGUUUCGUUCACUGCAGCACACAAGUAUCUGAGCGCUCUCAAUGACCUGUCCAAGCCUGUUUUCUAGAGCCGGUUGUUUUGCCUACCACUCUGCUUUCUCAAAUGACGUCAGCUUCCUUGAGUUCCCUGAGUGUAACACUAAAUUUACGAGUAUGUUGUGCAACCACAAAUUCUUCCGCUUGAUAAAAGACGAUGGGGAAACUGUAGCCCGGGGACUGUUUCUGUACAGUCGAACAACAGAUAUGUUUUAGUGCUGUCAGGGACACCUUGUUAUGAUCGCCCUUUGACUUAAUUCAAUGAGUUCCCCGCAAACUGAAAAAAAAAAAAAAAAAAAAA
ensembl:lncRNA